rnacentral:rRNA from 1 species
AGUGAACGCUGGCGGUAGGCCUAACACAUGCAAGUCGAACGGCAGCACAGUAAGAGCUUGCUCUUACGGGUGGCGAGUGGCGGACGGGUGAGGAAUACAUCGGAAUCUACUUUUUCGUGGGGGAUAACGUAGGGAAACUUAUGCUAAUACCGCAUACGACCUACGGGUGAAAGCAGGGGAUCUUCGGACCUUGCGCGAUUGAAUGAGCCGAUGUCGGAUUAGCUAGUUGGCGGGGUAAAGGCCCACCAAGGCGACGAUCCGUAGCUGGUCUGAGAGGAUGAUCAGCCACACUGGAGAUGAGACACGGUCCAGACUCCUACGGGAGGCAGCAGUGGGGAAUAUUGGACAGUGGGCGCAAGCCUGAUCCAGCCAUACCGCGUGGGUGAAGAAGGCCUUCGGGUUGUAAAGCCCUUUUGUUGGGAAAGAAAAGCAGCAGGUUAAUACCCCGCUGUUCUGACGGUACCCAAAGAAUAAGCACCGGCUAACUUCGU